rnacentral:lncRNA from 1 species
UUUGUUUUCUUGGCCUGCUGGUUAAUCUUUCUUUUUAGGUUUGUUUGUGAGUAUAAGUCAGCCUGUGUCUUUGUCAAAGGUAAUGUCUCUGUGUAUGUCUUAGCUACUGUCUAUGUCACUGUGUGUGUCUCUGUCUGUGUAAAAGGUACUGUCACUGUGUGUGUCUUAGGUACUGUCUGUGUCACUGAGUGUGUCUCUGUCUGUGUCAUAGGUCCUGUCACUGUGUGUGUCUUAUGUACUGUCUGUGUCACUGUGUGUGUCGUAGGUACUGUCUGUGUCACUGUGUGUGUCGUAGGUCUAGGUCACUGUGUGUCUGUACUGGUGUUUUGUGUACUCUGUGUGUGUGUGUCGUAGGUAUGUCUGGGUCACUGUAUGUGUCUUAGGUACUGUCUGUGUGCUGUGUGUCGUAGGUCUGUCUGUGUCACUGUGUGUGUCGUAGGUACUGUCUGGGUCACUGUGUGUGUCUUAGGUACUGUCUGGGUCACUGUGUGUGUCUAAGGUACUGUCUGGGUCACUGUGUGCGUCUUAGGUACUGUCUGUGUCACUGUGUGUGUCUUAGGUACUGUCUGUGUCACUGUGUGUGUUUCUGUAUGUGUCAUCAGAACAGUAAGAGUGUCUGUCACAGGUGCUGUCAAUAUGUAUCUGAAAGGUCUUAUCAGUUCGUCUGUAACAGGUUUCGUCAGUGCGUGUGUCAAUGGUGUAGUAUUUGAUGGAAAAAUUAUGCUUGUAA